rnacentral:misc_RNA from 1 species
UAAAGGAUCAUAUGAUUUUCUUGGGCUACAAUACUACACUUCAUAUUACGCAAAGCCAAAUGGUUCAAUUGAUCCAGAUCAUAUUAGAUACAAAACUGACAAUCGCAUUACUGAAACUCCUUAUGAUUAUAAUGGUAAUCUCAUUGGUCCCCAGGCUUAUUCAUCUUGGUUUUACAUUUUUCCGAAAGGUAUCAGACAUCUUUUGAACUAUACCAAAGAUAAAUACAAUGAUCCAGUAAUUUAUAUUACUGAAAAUGGAGUUGACAAUUUUAAUAAUGAAACUGAAUCUAUUGAGGAAGCACUUAAUGAUCAAUUCAGGAUAGACUAUUAUAAAGAACACAUGUGGCACGCUCUAAGAUCCCUCAAGGAUUACCAUGUUAAUAUCAAAGGUUACUUUGCAUGGUCAU